UGUGCGCCGGAUGCGGCGAUCUGCGGCCAAAAGGUCGUUGCGAUCAGCCCGUCCUGGCGCCGUAAAAUUUGCAACUGAGUCGCCUCUGGUCUUAAUUGGUCGGUGGCGUCUGCUCGGUUGCUCGUUUACUGUGAGAAAAUUAGAGUGUUUCAAGCAGGCAUGUUUUGCUAUGAAUACAUUAGCAUGGAAUAAUAAUCUAGGACUUUCGGUUCUAUUUUGUUGGUGUUCUGGAGCUGAAGUAAUGAUUGAUAGGGAUAGUUGGGGGUGCUAGUAUUCAAUGGCCAGAGGUGAAAUUCUCGGAUUCCUUGAAGACUAACUUAUGCGAAAGCAUU
rnacentral:rRNA from 1 species